CGCAGGAGCCCGGGAGGCCUUUCGCCCGAGGCGGGCUGCGGGCUGCUGGGGUCUGGUGCGGAGGGCCAACUUCUGGGAAUAACCUGGCUGUGGGCUUAAAAAUCGUAGUCAUUCAUUAUCACGGGCUUCUCUCUCUCGAAUACCUUUAACAUUUAUCGCCUUGUUAGUCUCCACAUCCACCUCCGUGAAAGAGAUGGAGUCUCGCUAUAUUUCCCAGUCUGGCCUCAAACUCCUGAUCUUAAGGGAUCCCCAGCUCAACCUCUCCCAGCAGCUGGGACUACCGGGCUGUCAAAUUUACAUUAACUAUGAGAAUUAAGCAGGAAUUCUCAAGGGUCUCUUUGGAGGCUUACCAAGGACAUCCAGCUGCACAGUGAAGGUGGCUUCUCCUGCUCUAUUCUUGGCAACACAUGCAUAAGCCCCUGCAUCUGAAGCUCUGACUACUUCAAAGAUGAGUGAAUGAAGACCCUUCUCAGACACUAUCAUUUUGUGCAAAUCAUCUGAUUGAACUGUUCUUCCAUUUAGAUACCAUGACACAUCAGGAGCUGGCAGUCCACUCACCUAGAAAGGAAUCCGAAAGUCAUCUGAGUUGGCUAUCUGCACGUUCUCUCUGUACCAGUGAACUUGAACUGUGGCUGUGGCCUGGAUUCCGCAUUCAAACAUGACCAACUGACCUCUGGUUGUAGGGAUGUCUUGAAGAUGCUGAAGAACAAACACAGAGUUCAGAGGAUGGAAGAAACUGUUAUACCAUCUACAAUGAUUUGAAAUGCCAUUUGCGACUGCAGUUGACCGUGGGUUAUUGAAACCACAGAAAGUGAAACUGGAUAACGAGAAAAUUUGGAAAAUAUGGAAGAAAAAAAAGGGGAAACACUAUCCCAGCCUCAACAAGGAGCUUGAUUUGGGCACAGAAACAGGAGAAAGAGACCUGCCUUGCCUCCCUUAUCCAACCGGAAGUAUUCUUCUUCUUCUGUCUUCAAUUUAUUGCAUGAUCACAUUUAUUGCAUGGGUGGCUUCAGGAAGGAUUUUAGGGAUUCCUGGAAAUAAUCAGUCUUGAAAUACUCCCCUCUUCUUCCUUCAUCUAGGAUGCUUCCUCUUCUCUCAAUAUAUUCUCACUUAUGGGUAUAAAGAAAAUGCAUCAAAGUAAAAGAAGAAAAUUUGCAACAACAGUCAUCCAUAAAUCUACCACCUGGAUAGAAUCCCUGAACCAUU
rnacentral:lncRNA from 10 species